rfam:Lupinus angustifolius cultivar Tanjil contig_32188, whole genome shotgun sequence.
AGCCAUGCACCAAACACAAAGUGAACUAUUCUUUUGCCUUUUACUAAAGAAUACCGUGUGUUUGUUGCUUGAAGUGGCAUAUGCCUAUUUUUGAAAGGAGCUCUUUUUUAGAAGGUU